rnacentral:rRNA from 1 species
UACGUAGGUGGCAAGCGUUGUCCGGAUUUAUUGGGUUUAAAGGGUGCGUAGGCGGUCCUGUAAGUCAGUGCUGAAAUAUCCCAGCUUAACUGGGAGGGUGGCAUUGAUACUGCGGGGCUAGAGUACAGAUGAGAUAGGCGGAAUUGACGGUGUAGCGGUGAAAUGCUUAGAUAUCGUCAAGAACACCUAUAGCGAAGGCAGCUUACUAGGCUGUAACUGACGCUGAGGCACGAAAGUGUGGGGAUCAAACAGG